rnacentral:rRNA from 1 species
AGUGAACGCUGGCGGCAUGCCUAACACAUGCAAGUCGAACGGCAGCACAGUAAGUUCUUGCUCUUACCGGUUGCGAGUCGCGGACGUGUGACGUAUACAUCGGACUCUACUUUUUCGUGGGGCAUACCGUAGCGAAACUUACGCCAAUACCGCAUACCACCUACGGGUGUAAGCACUGGAUCUUCCGACCUUUCGCGAUUGCAUGAGCCGAUUUCGGAUUAGUUAGUUGGCGGGGUAAACGCCCACCAGGCCGACGAUCCGUACUUGGCCUGAGAGGAUGAUCAGCCACACUGGGACUGAGACACGGUCCAGAAUCCUACGGGAGGAAGCAGUGGGGAAUAUUGGACAAAGGGCGCAAGCCUGAUACAGCGAUGCCGCGUGUGUGAAGAAGGCCUUCGGGUUGUAAAGCCCUUUUGUUGGGAAAGAAAAGCAGCAGGUUAAUACCACGCUGUUAUGACGGUACCGAAAGAAUAAGCACCGGCUAACUACGUG